GACGAACGCUGGCGGCGUGCUUAACACAUGCAAGUCGAGCGGUAAGGCCCUUUCGGGGGUACACGAGCGGCGAACAGGUGAGUAACACGUGGGUGACCUGCCCUCAGCUCUGGGAUAAGCCUGGGAAACCGGGUCUAAUACUGGAUAUGACUCCAUGACGCAUGUUGUGGGGUGGAAAGCCUUGUGCGGCUGAGGAUGGGCCCGCGGCCUAUCAGCUUGUUGGUGGGGUGAUGGCCUACCAAGGCGACGACGGGUAGCCGGCCUGAGAGGGCGACCGGCCACACUGGGACUGAGACACGGCCCAGACUCCUACGGGAGGCAGCAGUGGGGAAUCUUGCGCAAUGGGCGAAAGCCUGACGCAGCGACGCCGCGUGAGGGAUGACGGCCUCGG
rnacentral:rRNA from 1 species